rnacentral:lncRNA from 1 species
UGACACUCUUGGAUGUCCACCCAAUUGCACCCUGGAACUGCUCCUGCUGCCUGCCCAGCCACCUCUUCUAUCUUGAGGUCAGAUUUUGACAGGUUCAGGGAGAGAUGUCCAAGUUCUGGCUCCAGAAGCCCAUUGAGAGUAAUGGGAACUGGCCCUACAGAAAGGAGGGACUGUGGGAAAUUUCUGAGAACAUUAGGGGAAGGAACCUGUGGACUGGCAGGGAGAGAAGGAGGCAAGACUUUCUACUAAGCUGAGCAGGUAUGCAUCUUCUGUGCAGGAAAAUCAACGCUAAAACAAGAACUCAAAAACCAAGAAAACGUGACUUGCUAGGUAUAGGUACCCAGACAAUAUAUUUUGAGAGAUUCCACAGAGAAGAGAAAAUUGCAUUUUUGGUUUGUACAGCCCUCAAUGGAGAGCAUGCAAAGGAGCCAGUAAGUAGAUUUAUUUGCUCUUCUCCAUGGCACACUUUCUGCUUGGGUCUCCUGGUAGCUCUUUGGUGUCAGAUCAGGCAGAGGGUAGAUGGAAGCAAAAGCUAUGUGUAAACCUCCAUGAACAAAGAGAGCAUUUGCCCUCUCUCCACUCCCUUUCUUUUGCAGCCCCAAUUGAUGAGUUUUAUUAUGUGGAGGGCUAGUUGGUUUAGCUCUCCAGAAAGUGAUGAUAAGAGACUAGGUAGAGCGUCUUAGAAGGUGGAUUAGCAAGAAAUACCAAUCUAAAACACACUGAAAUGAGUCUGUUGCCUUAUCUUACCUUAUAACAACAAAAAUUUUUUUAAAUAUUUCUUCUAAAAAAUAUCAAUAAUGUGAAUAGAACUAUCGUCAGAAAUGUUAACAGAAAAGAAUUUGAAAAACCGUAAACUGAAAUCACAGAAUUAAAAGAAGAGAGGGGAAAAGAAGGGGAGUUAUGUUGUUAUGUCAAAAGAAUAAAAAGUUUCAUGUCACUUUGAAAUGUUUACCU